rnacentral:lncRNA from 9 species
AAAUAUUUUAACGCCAAUCCCACGGCCUGCACAGUUGGGCGGCCCAGCUGGUCGGCAGUGUCUGGGGGAGGCUCCUGGCGGCUGACGUCAAUUGGCAGAGCCCAGAAUCUCACACUCAGCCUGCCUCCCACACGUUCCUCUUCCCGCCCAGUCCUAUCAGCUAACUUUUGCCUCUCAGGAUUCAGAUUCAUCUUCUACAGGUUUUUCAACAAGGAAAUGCAUGACCUUUCCAGCCUCUUCAGUCUUCUUCUCGACCUAUGAACAAGUUUUGCAUUUUCUGUCUGAAAGGAGGAUGAAGAGUUUGGCAGAGAAGAAUGUGAAGCGGUGCAAAGCAGGGCUUCUGACAACUGACUUAGCAGUUCUCUUCACUUGCUUGCUAAGGACACGAGUACCUCAACGCCCAAAUCCAGAAAGAGAAGCAGGAAGCGAUGGCGGCCUGCGAAGGACACACCCCUGGACGCCGAGUCCUGGGUUCUUGGGUUCUCAGCCUUCCCACUGCACAGCAGGGAUCUCAGAAUCGUCCCCCUGUGAAUUCUCUCACCCAUAUUCUCAUCCUUCCCACUGUUUUCCCUGCUUCUCCCACUCACCCUAUUCUGGGAAAAUUCCAGGUAUGAUGGCCAAGAAAUUUCUUUUUCAAAAGGGAACACUUCUAAGAUUAAGAAGAUGUGCUACCAGAUGAAUUCCAAGAAACAGAUGUAAAAUAAGAUACUCCCAGGCGAACCAGGGAUGUUGUGGGUCUUGGGAAGGAAAGGGUUGGCCGGGCUCUGUGUCUGGUCAAAUCUCCCAGGAACCUUGCUAAUCAGACUUCUGCCGAUACUUACUUGCAGAAAGAGUAUGAAGAGCCCUCAUCUACGGAAUGUCUUUAGCAGGCAGGACCUUGUCUUUCUAGGUGGCAUGUGAUAAACAAACAUAGUAGUUAUAGAUUUGUAGCACUUGGAUCUCUGGAAGAUGUUGAUGUCAAAUAUAUGAUUAUUAGAAAGUGAAAUAGGGAUAUUUCAUGAUUGAAAUUACUCCCUUUUGUGAGUACAAUGUCCUGCCUGCCCACUUGGGAGCCUCAUAUAGUAAAUCUUGACGAGCAAGAGCCUGGGAAGUUGCAAAGGUAGUCUCCUCUUCAACUUCACUCACCAGGACCUUGGGAUUGAUUGCCUAGCCUUUUGAAUUACUAGGAAAACUUAGAAACUGGUGCAGUUUCUUGAGACUUUGACUUGAUAGUUUAAAUUUCCCAAUUUACUAGUAUAGACUUGUGCAGAAUACAUGUUGAUAAAGUUCUUGAUCUCUCCUCUGGCUGAUCAUAGAGCCACCCUCAAGCCUAACGUCAUGCAUUUAUGUCUUUUCUCUUGUUUUCUUGAUUGUCCUUAUCUUUAGAAUCCCGCCUACCACAGUCACAAACACAACGCCAUAGACAUAAUGCCAUUUUUGCCCAUAAAUAUUCCGAUGUGUAUUUCCUAAAAACAAGUGCUUGCUCUUCCCUAGCCACAGCAGCAUGGUUAAAAUCAGGAACUAACCUUAAUGCAGACUAGCAUCUAAUCUGCAGACCUUUAUGCAACUGUUUCCAAGUGCUCCACGCACGCUCCUGAUGGAGAACAAACAAGGAGACCAAGUUCCGGUUCCAUCUUUCAUCCCAGAUCACGUGCCACACUUGAUCGUCUCAUCUCUUUAGCCUCCUUUAAUCUGGACUGUCUCCUUGGUCUGUCCUGACCUUCAUGACCUUGACUUUUGAAAGAACGUGUGGCCUGUACAAGUUUCCAAAAAACAUUUUUCAACAAGAUAUUUCACUUGAAGGAGAACUUACUCGGUAUGAGUUGUGUUAGAAUAAUCUAGUCCUGGGAGUUCCUGUUGUGGCGCAGUGGUUAACGAAUCUGACUAGGAACCAUGAGGUUGCGGGUUCAGUCCCUGCCCUUGCGCAGUGGGUUAACGAUCCGGCGUUGCUGUGAGUUGCAGUGUAGGUUGCAGACGCGGUUCGGAUCCCGCAUUGCUGUGUCUCUGGCGUAGGCCGGUGGCUCCUGCUCCGAUUGGACCCCUAGCCUGGGAACCUCCAUAUGCCGCGGGAGCGGCCCAAGAAAUAGCAAAAAGACAAAAAAAAAAAAAAAAAAAAAGAAGAAGAAUUUAGUCCUACUGAAAAGACGGAGGAUGCCCUAUAAUUGACAGGGAUGUAUGAAAAUUCAAAGCGAAAUCUAAUCAAUGGAGGUUUUUAUUUGUGCUUAUCAUUAAACAUUGAGAUCAAAAUAACUUACUGACGUUGAAACAUUAAAAAUUUGAAUGAGCAUGUCACUACGGAAGAAAAGAGUGCUUUCCUAGAACCAGUUUUUCUCCUCACCUCAUUCAUAGUCUGUGUUGAUCCGAACACACAACUGACAAUUUAAGGGGAUAAGAAGAGUGCAUGAGGCUUGAGCGCACACAUAGCAAUGAUUUUCUGUAAGGCAGUCAUGGGCGGGGUCAGAGGUGGUCAAAGACUAGGAAAGUCACUGUCAGAGUGAGGAGGUGGCACGACCAAUGUCUGGGGUCCCCAUAGCGCAGAUAUGAGCAUCCAUGCUUUCCUGGCUCUGGAUCAAAUAACACGCUUUCUGUUUGCCUGGGCUUGGGGGCUCCUCAUUGGUUAGCUUGCUAACUAGACACCGUUGUCUGAUGUGAAACACAGUGCUCCUGCCUGCAUCCCUGUUUCUACCUGUGCCUUUCUUUGCUCGGCUGGUCUCAUCCAGCUGGAAUUCGCUUGAACUUAGUAGACUCUCCUGCAGGCCUUCAUUGGUUCGCUUCCUGCGUGUGGCUCUUCGCAGUCGACUCCACCCUCUGCCCAUCGUGCCCACCACGGUCCAGUCUGCACACUCACGCUUUCCAGCCCUUUCCAUCCUUAGAAUUACGUCAGCCUCGCUGAUCAGGGAAUCUCUCCAGGGGCACCUUCGCCAGAGCAAUCCCCUCGUUCAGCGCAGGGAGAAGGAGAACAGGCCCAUGGCUCCUGC